rnacentral:rRNA from 1 species
AGACGGCGGGGUAACGGCCCACCGUACCGACGAUGCGUAGGGGUUCUGAGAGGAAGGCCCCCCACACUGGUACUGAGACACGGACCAGACUCCUACGGGAGGCAGCAGUGAGGAAUAUUGGUCAAUGGGCGAGAGCCUGAACCAGCCAAGCCGCGUGAGGGAAGAAGGCGCUCAGCGUCGUAAACCUCUUUAGCCGGGGGACAAAACCUCCUCGCGAAGGAGGCUUGAGAGUACCCGGAGAAUAAGCAUCGGCUAACUCCGUGCCAGCAGCCGCGGUAAUACGGAGGAUGCGAGCGUUAUCCGGAUUUAUUGGGUUUAAAGGGUGCGCAGGCGGACAUUCAAGUCUGCGGUCAAAUUCCGGGGCUCAACCCCGGCCAGCCGUGGAAACUGAAUGACUUGAGUGGGCGAGAGGUAUGC